ensembl:lncRNA
ACGGGGGUGUCCCGGUGUCCCCCCGGGGGACUGGUCACCGCGGGGUCCCCCAAUGUCCCCAGGACUGGUCGUGUGGGGUCACCCCAGUGUCCCCAGGACUGGUCACUGCGGGGUCACCCCAAUGUCCCCAGGACUGGUCACUGCAGUGACGUGAUGCUGCAGCUCCCAGGGGUCAGUUGGUCACCACAGGGGUCACUUGGCCAUGGCAGUGUCCCCACGGUGUCCCUGUGGUCACUGUGCCAUGGCAAUCCCUGUUCCACAGCCACGUCCCCACGGUGGUCACUAUGGUCACUGUGCCAUGGUGGUGUCCUGGUGUCCCCACAGUGGUCACUGUGGUCAGUCACUGCUCCAUGGUGGUGUCCUGGUGUCCCCACGGUGGUCACUGUGCCAUGGUGGUGUCCCCACAGUGGUCACUGCUCUGUGGCAAUGUCCCCUCAGUGUCCCAGUGGUCAGUCACCGUGCCAUGGUAGUGCCUCUGCUGGUCACUCUGUUCACUGACCCAUGGCAAUGUCCCCGUGCUGGUCAGCGCUCCAUGGCCGUGUCCUGGGGCGGUCACUGUGGUCACUCAGCGCUCCAUGGCCGUGUCCCGGGGCGGUCACUGUGGUCACUCAGCGCUCCAUGGCCGUGUCCUGGGGUGGUCACUGUGGUCACUCAGCUCCAUGGCCGUGUCCUGGGGCGGUCACUGUGGUCACUCAGCGCUCCAUGGCCGUGUCCUGGGGUGGUCACUCAGCGCUCCAUGGCCGUGUCCCGGGGUGGUCACUGUGGUCACUCAGCGCUCCAUGGCCGUGUCCCGGGGUGGUCACUGUGGUCACUCAGCGCUCCAUGGCCGUGUCCUGGGGUGGUCACUGUGGUCACUCAGCGCUCCAUGGCCGUGUCCUGGGGUGGUCACUCAGCGCUCCACGGCCAUGUCCUGGGGUGGUCACUGUGGUCACUCCGUGCUCCAUGGCUGUGUCCCGGGGCGGUCACUGUGGUCACUCAGUGCUCCAUGGCCGUGUCCUGGGGUGGUCACUGUGGUCACUCAGUGCUCCAUGGCCGUGUCCUGGGGUGGUCACUGUGGUCACUCAGCGCUCCACGGCAGUGUCCUAGGGUGGUCACUGUGGUCACUCCGCGCUCCAUGGCCGUGUCCCCGGGCGGUCACUGUGGUCACCAGUGCUCCAUGGCCGUGUCCUGGGGUGGUCACUGUGGUCACUCCAGUGCUCCAUGGCCGUGUCCUGGGGUGGUCACUGUGGUCACUCAGCGCUCCACGGCAGUGUCCUGGGGUGGUCACUGUGGUCACUCAGUGCUCCAUGGCCGUGUCCUGGGGUGGUCACUGUGGUCACUCCGUGCUCCAUGGCCGUGUCCUGGGGUGGUCACUGUGGUCACUCAGCGCUCCAUGGCCGUGUCCCGGGGCGGUCACUGUGGUCACUCCGUGCUCCAUGGCCGUGUCCCAGGGCGGUCACUGUGGUCACUCAGCGCUCCAUGGCGUGUCCCAGGGUGGUCCCUGGGUGGUCACUGUGGUCACUCAGCUCCAUGGCCGUGUCCCUGGGCGGUCACUGUGGUCACUCAGCGCUCCAUGGCCGUGUCCCGGGCGGUCACUGUGGUCACUCAGCGCUCCAUGGCAGCACCCUGGGGUGGUCACUGUGGUCACUCAGUGCUCCAUGGCCGUGUCCCAGGGCGGUCACUGUGGUCACUCAGUGCUCCAUGGCCGUGUCCUGGGGUGGUCACUGUGGUCACUCAGUGCUCCAUGGCCGUGUCCUGGGGUGGUCACUGUGGUCACUCAGCGCUCCAUGGCCGUGUCCCGGGGCGGUCACUGUGGUCACUCAGUGCUCCAUGGCCGUGUCCCAGGGCGGUCACUCAGCGCUCCAUGGCCGUGUCCUGGGGUGGUCACUGUGGUCACUCAGCGCUCCAUGGCCGUGUCCCGGGGACGGUCACUGUGGUCACUCGGCGCCC